UACAAUCAUAUUCCAGGGAUAAUGUUACUAUUUUCUUGAAGGUCAUGAAAAGGUGUUUUGUAAUCCCCUCUGCAAGGAGUUACCUUCUUCAAUUUGUAAAGUCUGGGGUGCUGCCACUGCCUCAAAUAUUGCCUCAAAUUGUGUAAAAUAAACUGAAGCAUCAGGCCAACAGGAAAAUUGUUUCUUGGGGAAAAAAAAUAAAUAAACUCCUUGGUAAUUUCUAAGUCUGGAUUUAUAACAAAAAAAAGUCCCUUCAGUCCACUUGAGAAGACUUUUUCCAGCAACGUGGGAUUGAAUCAUCAUAGCAACCAGUUCUGAAUCCUGCAGCCUGUUGAGAGAUGGUUUCUGCUCUCCACGCUGAUGAACAAGUGUUUAUUUUGUUAUUUUCACAGGUCUCCACAAUGACUCCAGUGAAUUAAACCAGGAAUUUUACUAUGCUAUCAGAAACUGCAGCAUGUUGAUAAACAACUGCCCUGGAAAGGAUUGCAGUCUUGCAGGGCCAUGCUUUGCUGCUUGCAUGGAAAGCCUUCCCAGGUGCUUCCAGAAUGCUCUUGUUCACUGCUGAAUUCACUGAUUUUUGGUUUUCCUCUCAGAGCGCUCGUUUUCACCAAUAGUCUGAAGAUUUUGUAUAUUCUGAUAGAAAUAUUUGCACUUACCAGCUCAGUGCCAGAAGAGGACAAUAAUAUUUAAUGAGAAGUCACAUGAGACAAGGAAAUAAAAUAAUGUAGUAUUAAAGCAUUUCAGGGAAGUUGGAUUGACAUGCAAGACAGAUUUCCUUGGAAAGGACAAAAAUUCAAAAUCCAGUGGAAAUUGAGACCCCAGUCAACCCCAUUUACCUGCAGAAUAUUUUGUCGUGUAGGCUUUAUUCU